CGGUAAUUCCAGCUCCAAUAGCGUAUACUAAAGUUGUUGCAGUUAAAAAGCUCGUAGUUGGAUUUCUGCGGGGACGGAGCGGCCGGUCGCAAUUUGCGACUCGAGCUAGCGCUUUCCCCGCAUCCUGCCGCGAACCGUGCUACCAUUAGUUUGGUGGCGCUGGGGAUCGGCUCGAUUACUUUGAGAAAAAUAGAGUGUUCAAAGCAGGCCACACGCCUUGAAUAAGUUAGCAUGGAAUAAUGACUAAGGACUUUGGUUCUUUUCGUUGGUGUUCGGGACUGAAGUAAUGAUUGAUAGGGACAGUUGGGGCGGUCCGUAUUCCAAAGCGAGAGGUGAAAUUCUUAGACCUUCGGAAGACGAACAGCUGCGAAAGCGUUCCGCAAGGAUGUUCCCUUUGAUCAAGAACGAAAGUUGGGGGAUCGAAGACGAUCAGAUACCGUCGUAGUCUCAACUAUAAACUAUACCAGCUAGGGAUCGGCCAACGUUUAAUUUAUCGACUUGGUCGGCACCUUAUGAGAAAUCAAAGCAUCUGGGUUCCGGGGGGAGUAUGGUCGCAAGGCUGAAACUUAAAGGAAUUGACGGAAGGGCACCACCAGCCGUGGAGCCUGUGGCUUAAUUUGACUCAACACGGGAAAACUUACCAGGUCCAGACAUAGGAAGGAUUGACAGAUUGAUAGCUCUUUCUUGAUUCUGUGGGUGGUGGUGCAUGGCCGUUUUUAGUCGGUGGAUGUGAUCUGUCUGCUUAAUUGCGUUAACGGACGAGACCCCAGCCUGCUAAAUAGCGCGGCCGAGCUUUGCUCGGUGCGAGCUUCUUAGAGGGACCAUGAUGCGCGAUAGCACAAGGAAGUUUGGGGCAACAACAGGUCUGUGAUGCCCUUAGAUGUUCUGGGCCGCACACGGGCUACACUGGCGCCUGCAACGAGCAUAUCAGCUGGCCCGAGAGGGUCUUGGCUAAUCUUUGGAACCGGCGCCGUGCUUGGGAUUGACCAUUGCAAUUGUUGGUCAUGCAACGAGGAAUGCCUUGUAAACGCGAGUCAUCAGCUCGCAUUGAAUACGUCCCUGCCCUUUGUACACACCGCCCGUCGCUCCUACCGAUGAAUGUUCCGAUGAAAUUUUCGGAGAGCACCAGAGAACGGGGCUCCGCCUUGCAGAUCUGGAGGCUCAAAGUCACUUAAAUCUGAACAUUUCGAGAAAGGAGAAGUCGUAACAAGGUAACC
rnacentral:rRNA from 1 species